AACGCGAAUAACCUUACCUGGGUUAAAUCCCAGUUGUAAAGUGCAGAGAUGCACUCCCCUCGCAAGAGGCGGCUGGGAAGGUGCUGCAUGGCUGUCGUCAGCUCGUGUCGUGAGAUGUUGGGUUAAGUCCCGCAACGAGCGCAACCCUUACCACUAGUUGCCAGCAUUUAGUUGGGCACUCUAGCGGAACUGCCGGUGAUAAACCGGAGGAAGGUGGGGAUGACGUCAAGUCAUCAUGGCCUCUAUGUCCAGGGCUACACACGUGCUACAAUGGCCGGUACAAACCGCUGCGAACUCGCGAGAGGGAGCCAAUCGGAAAAAGCCGGUCUCAGUUCGGAUUGGAGUCUGCAACUCGACUCCAUGAAGUUGGAAUCGCUAGUAAUCGCGGAUCAGCACGCCGCGGUGAAUACGUUCCCCGGGUCUUGUACACACCG
rnacentral:rRNA from 1 species